rnacentral:tRNA from 1 species
GCUCUGGUCGUCUAGUUCGGUCAAGGACACAGGCCUCUCAAGUCUGUAACUCGGGUUCAAAUGCAGGCAAAAACC